rnacentral:lncRNA from 1 species
UUAAAGUGCAAAUGGUUUGCAGUAAUGUAAAUGACAAUAAGUAAAUGCAAACCAGAGAUCACGCCGAAUUUACAGUGGUUCGGUCAAAUGACCUACAUCCACUUGUGAGGCCCCUCUUCGAUGAGGCUCCCACCUUCCACUAGCAAAUCUCUUGAAGGGGAAGGGUAAAUAUCCCUCUUACAACUUUUUACAAGCGGUU